ACGAACGCUGGCGGCGUGCUUAACACAUGCAAGUCGCACGGAAAGGCCCUGCUUUUGUGGGGUGCUCGAGUGGCGAACGGGUGAGUAACACGUGAGUAACCUGCCCUUGACUUUGGGAUAACUUCAGGAAACUGGGGCUAAUACCGGAUAGGAGCUCCUGCUGCAUGGUGGGGGUUGGAAAGUUUCGGCGGUUGGGGAUGGACUCGCGGCUUAUCAGCUUGUUGGUGGGGUAGUGGCUUACCAAGGCUUUGACGGGUAGCCGGCCUGAGAGGGUGACCGGGCGGAGUGGGAGUGGAAUGAGGGAGGGGCGCAGGCGGGAGGCAGCAGUGCGGGAGGGUGAACGAUGGGCUGAGGCGGGAAGCAGCGAUGCGGCGUGGGGGAUGACGGCCUGCGGUUAGUAAGACGAUUACGCCUGGGAAGAAGCGGGAGAGGGGGGGCUGGGAAUAGAAGGACCGCACCCAUACAUG
rnacentral:rRNA from 1 species